rnacentral:lncRNA from 1 species
GCCAACCAGGGCCAUUCCCUGCAGGUACCUAAGUUGGAGCUGAUGCCCCUGGAGACACCGCAGGCCCUGCCCCCGAUGCUAGUCCAUGGUCCCCUUCAAAGGUUACAACACUUGUCUGGGGCCACCCCAUGUCCGGCAUGGAGCAGCACCCCUGCAUCCCCCAGCCCAGGACCCCAGUCUGCCUAGGUUGCUGACUGCACUCCAGGUGCCCAGGCCUCAGCUCCAGCUGUCUCUGCAGGCAUGCGGUCCCAUUGUGAAAUAGCUGUGUUCAUCGAUGGACCCCUGGCUCUGGCAGAUGGAAUACCCUUCUUCCGCUCUGCCAAUGGGGUGAUUCUGACUCCAGGGAAUACUGAUGGCUUCCUCCUUCCCAAGUACUUCAAGGAGGCCCUGCAGCUACGCCCUACCCGAAAGCCCCUUUCCUUGGCUGGUGAUGAAGAGACAGAGUGUCAGAGUAGCCCCAAGCACAGCUCCAGAGAAAGGAGGAGGAUCCAACAAUAAAAUAUUAAUUUAUAAAAAAGAAAUUUUAAAAAGUAACAAGAAAGAA